AAGAUUCAGGGAAGAGAAGGCACCCGUGAGAUGUAAGAACUGCUUGGGACAGAACUAUUCAUAGGAUUGGAACCACGACUGUGCCACACUGAUUAUAGCGCUCAAAGGACACAGCAAACCAGAGGCCACCAACUCACAGAUAUAAAUAAGAACCAGCUUGACAACAGGAGAAUGGGCUGGACCGUUUGAGCCUCCUUGACAUCAGUGGGUGGGAGCGUCUCAUCCCCAGGUGCCAGGCAUUUCUUAACCACGGGGAUAUUACUCAUUCCUGUUUAACAGAAGAAAUGUCAGAAGAACGCUGGGCACUUUCGUCUUUCACAGGAAUUCUUUGAAAUAAGUCCUAGACUGAGGACAGGUCUCAGCUGGUAGGAUGCUUUCUAAGCGAGCGCCGAAGUCUGAAGUAUUCAUCGGCUUCUCAAGAGGAACAGAACUGACAGAAGAAUAUAUGUGUUAAAAGAGAAUAUACUAAAUUGGCUUCCAUGAUAGUCAGAGUAGAACGGAGUAGACUAUUUCACAGUGGAGAGAUCAGGAAUGCAGUAAUCCACAAGCUUUGCCCACAGAGGCAAGGUGCCUUCAACAGUCCCAAUCUGCCAUCGAAAGCCCGGAGGACCCCUUGAGAGUUCCUCAAUCCAGAGUGGAGGCCGGUUCUGAUAUCACUGAAGGGGUGAGCUGCAUCACUGACAGGAUGGGUGAACCGGCUCACACGAGUGAAGAAUAAAUAAUCAUAAAGCAAAAU
rnacentral:lncRNA from 1 species